rnacentral:tRNA from 1 species
AGAGAAAAUAAGAAAUAUAAAGUUGGGCUGCUAACUUGACUUUGGGGACUGCGAGCUCCUUUCUCUU